ACUGCUAAAACCGCAUAAGCGCACAGGGUCGCAUGACCCGGUGUGAAAAACUCCGGUGGUAUGAGAUGGACCCGCGUCUGAUUAGCUAGUUGGUGGGGUAACGGCCUACCAAGGCAACGAUCAGUAGCCGGCCUGAGAGGGUGAACGGCCACAUUGGGACUGAGACACGGCCCAAACUCCUACGGGAGGCAGCAGUGGGGAAUAUUGCACAAUGGGGGAAACCCUGAUGCAGCGACGCCGCGUGAGUGAAGAAGUAUUUCGGUAUGUAAAGCUCUAUCAGCAGGGAAGAAAAUGACGGUACCUGACUAAGAAGCCCCGGCUAACUACGUGCCAGCAGCCGCGGUAAUACGUAGGGGGCAAGCGUUAUCCGGAUUUACUGGGUGUAAAGGGAGCGUAGACGGCGAAGCAAGUCUGAUGUGAAAGGCAGGGGCUCAACCCCUGGACUGCAUUGGAAACUGUUUUGCUAGAGUGCCGGAGAGGUAAGCGGAAUUCCUAGUGUAGCGGUGAAAUGCGUAGAUAUUAGGAGGAACACCAGUGGCGAAGGCGGCUUACUGGACGGUAACUGACGUUGAGGCUCGAAAGCGUGGGGAGCAAACAGGAUUAGAUACCCUGGUAGUCCACGCCGUAAACCA
rnacentral:rRNA from 1 species